CUGGAUCAUAGGUUAUGGGUAUGUUUUUGGCUUUUGUAGAUGCUACCACACAGUUUUACAAAGUGGUUGUAGCAGUUCACACUCCCACCAGCAUGGUGAUGCUAGCUACUACAUGAUGCUUCCUACACGUGCUCUACUAGGCAGUGUGUUAUUUAAUCUUCAUAGCAGUCCACUUUUUGGAUGAGGAAACUGAGGUUGAAGAUUUGCCAAGGUGACGCAAGGUGUUUUUAUUCUCAACCUUGUGUGCCGAGACUUGGGGCUAAAAGACUCAGUGCUGGCUGGGCUCAAGGCAGUGUUCCCCCUCCUAUAUGUCCGGCGAAUUGAGGGUGAAGUGAAUGAGAUCCUGUUCUGUCAGCUGCACCCUGAGCAAAAACUUGCCACACCAGAGCUCCUAGAAACAGCCCAGGCUUUGGAGCGGACCCUGAGGAAGCCUGGGAGGGGUUGGGAUGACACGUAUGUCUUGUCAGAUAUGCUCAAGACGGUGAAAAUUGUGUGACUGCUUAGGCCAAGCAGCCCUCCUGCCUAGACUGACCUUGGACUCCCAGCCUGCCAGAGAAUGAAGAAAUACAACGCACAGUACUUUUGAAGCUUCGUAUUUUUCUUGGUUUCACACUCAGCUACAUGUGACCUCCAGCUUGGUGAGGUUGCCUGAAGAUUAGGGAAAAUAAAAAUGUCCUUCCCAUCUUGUCCUCUUCAGUACCACUUGGGUUGGUUUGUCUUUGCUUCCUACACCACGUCCUUGAGUGGAGUUCCCUGCUGAAGCCCCUAGCACACACUGCAUGCCUUAACAAGUGUGUGCAAGCCCCUCAGAACUCAAGACAUCCAAAUUUUAUUGCGUCUCUACUUAUACUGGUUUGCUUUUGAUUUAUUCCUCUAUUAGUUCUAUAGGAGUGAUCUCAAGUGAGAUAGCAGAGCAAGAUGCCAAAAGACCAUAAAUAGAGUAAGGUUUCUAUAGAUGUGAGACAGAUUUGAGAGAGCAUUUACUCUGUCUCCCUGUGGAUGAAACUGCUGCUGAAAUGGUUCCAAUUUUUAGGAAUCUGCUUACCCACUUCAUUAUUUGACAGCUUUCCUUGGUGACCCAAACCUUGUAGCCUAAGCCAUUUGUCUUUUUCUCAGUGGAGGGAGUGUAUGGACCUGGCCCCAUGGCUUUGCAUGUUAGAGACCUGGCAGACUAAAGUCUCUAGUGUUUGUUUGCUCACAUUUGCUGAGUGACAGCUAUGUGCCAGACUGCAUAAAGGGUGGUGGCAGAAGUGAAAAUGUUUAAGAAUGACCAAAAACAUUAGUAAUGAAAGUUAAUGUGUUCCAGGCAUUCUUCUAAGUGGUUUACAUGCACUGUCUCAUUUAAUCUGAGAUAAAGGAUACUUAAGCCCAAACUAUAUCUAAACCCAAAUCUCACUUGGCUGGAAACAUCAAUCUUAACCAUUUAUUCAGAACCAU
rnacentral:lncRNA from 1 species